GAAGACCCAGAGGCAUUUGCUGAGCUCAAGGUAAAGGAGAUCAAGAACGGUAGACUUGCCAUGUUCUCUAUGUUCGGAUUCUUCGUUCAAGCUAUUGUUACCGGAAAGGGUCCAUUGGAGAACCUUGCUGACCACCUUGCAGACCCCGUUAACAACAACGCUUGGGCUUUUGCCACAAACUUUGUCCCCGGAAAAUGAAACUUUUUAAACAAUCUUAAUAUUCCUUGUAAAGUAGUAGUGAGUUACUUGACAAUAGAAUGGAUUGUUUUUCUUUAAUAUUUCAAUGUUUGUGUAGUACUGAGUAACAUCUUACUAAGCUAUGAAUCAAAUGUUGCCACUUUCAUAACAAAGGAUAAUCAAAGAAAGAGAACAGAGCAAAAAAGACAGAAGAUACAUAUAUAUGAGAUAUGGUAACUAGAAAAACUCUAAAGCUGUGACAGGCUUACAACAUCGAAUUUUCAGACCAGAAGAACUUAGGGAAUUCAAUCAACUCUCAAGAAGCAAUACUCAAAAUUAGAGCAAAGUAUUAAUUUUGAAAAAUAAGAUGUUAUUACAUCAUUCAUUAAUUUUGUCGAGAGGUUAAAGAGGAAAUAGAGGACGUUAUAUCAUUUCACGACUAGAACAUUAACAGUUCAAUAAUAAGGGAAGAAAGCCAAUAUGUUUUUUAGUCUGAAAUGUAGUUAUUAGAAACAUAUAAGUUUCCAGGUCCUUAUAUUAUGUGCCUUUAAUUUGGAUAGCAUCUUUGAACAGAUUCGUAAAUCUCUUAUACAUCCUCCUUUCUCACAUAUCUGACAAAUCCUUUGACAUAGUAAUGACCAGAGCCAAAGGACACACUUAUAUAGUUAGCAGAAGACACAAGUAAUGCUAUAUAUGACACUUACUGGCAACAAAUUCUAAGUUGUAUGCACUAAUAACGUAAGCAAUAUUUACACAAUCAAGUUACUUAGUAAGUUACUAAAGGUAAAUCCCUUGAUAAACAUUAAUUGGUAUUCUGGUUAAAAAUAGUAACUGAUCUACUAUCACAUGUUAAAAUUUAUGGAUAGUGUAAAAACAUCUUUACACUGUUAGUAAAUUCUAUUUCUCUUAACACAGAAAAAAUUGUGAUACUGAUGAAUAUCAACAAAUUAAAAUCUGUGUUCAUGUCCUUCAGAACAAGCACUUUCCAAGUCUCAGCAUCUGUUGCUCAUGUAGUGGUUAAGUACUAAGCUGCGUUGAAUCUCUACGCAUAAAUUAACAGUAUCUUGAAUGAGCAUAUGAAAAUAUAACAUGCGUGGCUAACAUAAACAACUUUGUCAAUUGAGGUCUAAUAUAUUAAUAAAGUUUCAAUUGCAUUGCUUCCCAAACAUAAACAUGCAUUAUUGAUCUCCCACAAUUUAUGAAUUUAAUUGUGGCAUCUUUUACCAUGAAGGUAGACAAAUUCCAAGUGGAUAAUGAUAUGGACAUCAUAUUGUGAGCUCAACAUUGAAUGAGCUGUAGUGCUGAUAGAUGAAAUCUGGAGAAAUUUCAAAUGGAUAAUGACAAAGAUAUCAGUAGUGUAAACUCAACAAAUCAGAGGGCAGAGUUCAAUCUUUACAGCCACACAAAGGAGGGCAAUAUUGGAUGGGCCCCUUAAGUAAUAAACAUCAUGCAGAUUGGAGAUUGCCAAGUGCAUUAAUCGCUACACAUGGGAUCUUGAUACCCAAUGAGAUUAUAGAUAUAGAUAUCACUAGAUAAUUACGGCUCUUUCCCUCUUUCUUAAUCCCUAUAUAUGGUGAAUUAAUUCCCUUGUAACUUCAUCUCAUCACAGCCUUCAACAAUAUUUAAUACCAUAAAAUACUCAACACUUUUCUCUUAAUAUAAAUCAUGGCAGCUGCUGCAAUGGCUCUUUCUUCCCCUUCAUUUGCUGGACAGGCAGUCAAACUCUCACCAUCUGCCUCAGAAAAUUCUGGAAAUGGAAGGAUCACUAUGAGAAAGGCUGUCGCCAAGUCUGCCCCAUCUAGCAGCCCAUGGUAUGGCCCUGACCGUGUUAAGUACUUGGGACCAUUCUCUGGUGAGUCCCCAAGCUACUUGACUGGCGAAUUCCCUGGUGACUACGGCUGGGAUACCGCUGGACUUUCAGCUGACCCUGAGACCUUUGCCAAGAACCGUGAACUUGAGGUGAUCCACUGCAGAUGGGCUAUGCUUGGUGCUCUUGGAUGUGUCUUUCCUGAGCUCUUGGCCCGCAACGGUGUAAAGUUUGGUGAGGCUGUGUGGUUCAAGGCCGGAUCCCAGAUCUUCAGCGAGGGUGGACUUGACUACUUGGGCAACCCAAGCUUGGUCCAUGCACAAAGCAUCUUGGCCAUCUGGGCUUGUCAAGUUGUGUUGAUGGGAGCCGUUGAAGGUUACCGCAUUGCUGGUGGACCUCUUGGUGAGGUUGUCGACCCACUCUACCCCGGUGGCAGCUUCGACCCAUUAGGCCUUGCUGAAGACCCUGAGGCAUUUGCCGAGCUCAAGGUAAAGGAGAUUAAGAACGGCAGACUUGCUAUGUUCUCGAUGUUUGGAUUCUUCGUUCAAGCCAUUGUUACUGGAAAGGGUCCAUUGGAAAACCUUGCUGACCACCUUGCAGACCCCGUUAACAACAACGCUUGGGCUUUCGCCACAAACUUUGUUCCCGGAAAAUGAAAAUCUUAAACAUUCUUAAAAUUUGAUUGUUUGAUGGCCUUGUAAAGUAGUUGUCAGUAAUUACUUGACAUUAGAAUGGAUUAUUUUUUUUCAAUAUUCAAAAUUUCCAAUGAUUGUGUAAUCCUGAGUUACAUUUUUCAAAGCCACGAAUAAAAAAUAUUGCCACUUUUAUACCAAAGGGUAGAAGAAAGAGACCAAAGAAAAAAUAAUUGAGAAUUAAGAUGUCGUAACUAGAAAAACUAUAUGCUGUUAUAAGAUUAAAACUUGAAUUAUGGAAUUCAAUUAAUUCUGGAUAAGCAAUACUCAAAAUUAGUGUAAAGUACUAAUGUUGAACACCAUGACGUUAUUACAUGAUUCCUUAUUUUUCUAUCGAGAAGCGAAAGAGGAAAUAAGAAGACAUUGUUUCAUUUCAAUGCUAAGUGAAAACCAAUGUGUUUAACAUAUGACUUUACAGGUCCUUGCAUUAUAUGUCCUGUGAAAAAAUUCAUAAAUUUCUUGAAAAAUCAUCCUUCAUAACAUUGAUACCAUCUUUAGAUUAAAAGAUCUUUCCAAACAAGGCGCAUAGUAAUGACCAUAGCCAAAGCACAUACUUGUAUAGUUAGUUCGCAGAAGAGACAACAUGACACUUAUUGGCAACAAAUUUAAGCUAUGCACUGGUAAUAUAAAAAUUAUAUACAAUCAGUUUUACUUAUAAAGUAAUAUAUGUAAAUCCGUUGAUAACCAUUACUCCAAUGGUAGUCUCGUAAAAAUAGGGAAUUGACUUACUAUCACAUGUUAAAUUUUAUGGAUACGGCAAAAACAUCUUUAUACUGUCAGUGUAUAUAACUUAAAUCUACAAUUAGUAAAAAUAUAUUGUGGUGCUGAUGAAUUCUAACAAAUUAACGUGUUUGUUCAUGUUCUUCUGAAUAAGCUCUUUCAGAGUUUCACCAUUGCUCAUGUAGCAGUUAAGUACUGGAACUAAGCCGCAUUAAAUCUGUAAACAUGAAUUAACAAUGUCUUGAAUGAGCAUAAAACAAGAUAGCAUGUGUUGCUGACAUAAACAACUUUGUCAAUUGGGGUCUAAUAUGUUAAUAAAGUUUCAAUCACAUUGUUUUCCAAACAUAAACAUGCAUUAUUAAUUUCCCACAAUUUAUGCAUCAAGGUGGUAAUAAAUUUAAACUUCUCCUCGAAUUUCCUAAACCAUAGUUCUACAUCUUUUACCCUGCAGGUAGACAAAAUCUAUAGAAAUGGCAAGUGGAUAAUGAUAGGGAUAUCAUAUUGUAAGCUCAAUAUAUCACAGGGUGGAUUUCAAUCCUUGUGGCAAUAUAUGAGAGGACAAUACUGAAUGUGUCCCUUCUUGGAAAAUUAAUGAGUUGUAGAUUCAAGUUGCUACAAUAUAUGGGAUCUUGAUAUCCAAUGAGAUCAUAUGUAUAGAUAUCACUGGAUAAGAGGAUUCUCUCUCUCUAAUUACCUCCUAUAUAUUCUGAACCCCAACUACUUCAGCUUCAUCACAACCAACUUUGACAUUUCAAACACUCAUCACUUUUCUCUUGUUAUAAACCAUGGCAGCUUCUACAAUGGCUCUUUCUUCCCCUUCUUUUGUUGGGCAGGCAGUGAAACUCUCACCCUCUGCCUCAGAAAUCUCUGGAAAUGGAAGGAUCACUAUGAGAAAGGCUGUUGCCAAGUCUGCCCCGUCUAGCAGCCCAUGGUAUGGACCAGACCGUGUUAAGUACUUAGGCCCAUUCUCUGGUGAGUCCCCAAGCUACUUGACCGGUGAAUUCCCUGGUGACUACGGCUGGGAUACCGCUGGACUUUCAGCUGACCCUGAAACUUUUGCCAAGAACCGUGAACUUGAGGUGAUCCACUGCAGAUGGGCUAUGCUUGGUGCUCUUGGAUGUGUCUUCCCUGAGCUAUUGGCCCGUAAUGGUGUCAAGUUCGGUGAGGCUGUGUGGUUCAAGGCUGGAUCCCAGAUCUUCAGCGAGGGUGGACUUGAUUACUUGGGCAACCCAAGCUUGGUCCAUGCACAAAGCAUCUUGGCCAUCUGGGCUUGUCAAGUUGUGUUGAUGGGAGCCGUUGAGGGAUACCGCAUUGCUGGUGGACCUCUUGGUGAGGUUGUCGACCCACUCUACCCCGGUGGCAGCUUCGACCCAUUAGGCCUUGCUGAAGACCCGGAGGCAUUUGCUGAGCUUAAGGUUAAGGAGAUCAAGAACGGCAGACUUGCUAUGUUCUCUAUGUUUGGGUUCUUUGUUCAGGCCAUUGUUACCGGAAAGGGUCCAUUGGAGAACCUCGCUGACCACCUUGCGGAUCCAGUUAAUAACAAUGCCUGGGCCUUUGCCACAAACUUUGUUCCUGGAAAAUGAAUAUCAUAAAUUGAUGGCCUUGUAAAGUUGUAAUUGUGAGUUUACUAGACAAUAUAAUGGAUUUUUCUUAUAUUCCAACUAUGGUGUAGUAUAUAAUUCCAUUUUCCAAUUGCAUGAAUGAAAUACUGCAAGAUUCAUAUCAAAGGGGGAAAAAAGAUGACUAAGCAAAAACAAAAAAGAAAAACCAAUAUACAUUUGGAAUGUGGUAAAAGCUUAAAUCUUGAAUAUACAGACACAGGAACUUAAGGAAUUCAAUUUAUCCUCAAGAAUCAAUAAUAGUCUUAACUUAAUGCCAAGAAUAACAUUGAACAACAUGAUGUUAUUGACAUGAUUCCUAAUUUUUCUAUCUGAGAAGUGAGAUGAUUUAAGAGUACAUAACAAUUUUUCACUUCUACAUCAUUGACAUUUCAUUGAUGAGAGAAAACCAAUGCUGUGUGUUAUGUAAUCUGAACGUAGCAAGUAAAAGCAUCUAUGCAACUGCUUAUAUAACAGAGGCAGGUAUCCUCCAAAGAUGGCAUAUAGUAACGAGUAACGACCAGAGCCAAAAUUAAGGAAAUAGUAAGCAGAAGAUACAAGAAACUAAGAUAUACAUGACACUUAUUAUAAAGGAAAAUAAGUUCUAAGCAUUGACAUUGUAAAAAUGCUAAUGCUCAUGUCACUUAUUAACAAGGGCAGGGGUAAGCUUCAUCAUGCAUAUUUGACAGAACCAAUUAAGUAGUUUUGGUUCAAACAAAUAUAUAUAAGUGUUAAGAAACAAACAAAUUAAAUUGAGGAAUUCAUUUACUAGUAACUAAAUGAAACAUAUACAGAAUGUUCUAUGACUAUAAAUGCCUCUUCAUGACCAUAAGAUUUUUAAAAAUCCAUGCAUGGACCUUGGUUGAAAGAGAAUAUGAUAUUCUGCAUUGCCUUAAUGUCGCCAAAUGCUAUAGUGACUCUUGGAUGCAAUGACAUUAUAUCAAAGCUGCUAAAUGUUUUUACGGAAAAUCUUUUGUCAUUGAAUGUCUCUUUUGUUGUAGUGAUAUGUGUUAAAGAAAUUCAUCAACACAAAUUAAAUUUAGAAUCUGUUUAUCAGAAUCCAUAAAGUUCAAAUCUUGAUCCACAUUUGCUUAUGAAGUAAAUAGAGGUUAAACAUGAAUUGAUAAUAUGAUAAAAAUGAGUUUCAGCUUUUCCUCAAUUUAUUUAGUGAAGGCUUAACCAUAGUUCUACAUUGAAUAAGCUUUAGUGCUGAUAGAUAAAAUUUGGAUAAAUUCCAAAUGGAUAAUGAUAAGAGAUAUCAGUGUAUUGUAAGCUCAACAAAUCAGAGGGUAGAGUUCAAUCCUUGUAUCCACACAUAGGAGGACAGUAUUGGAUGGGUCCCUUCAGUAAACAUCUUAAAAAAUUAGAAGGAUUAGAGAUUGUCAAGUUGCAUUCAUUGCUACACUUAGGAUCUUGAUAUCCAAUGAGAUCAUAGAUAUAGAUAUCAUUAGAUAAUUUGGACUCUUUCCCUCUUAAUUACUCCCUAUAUAUAUGGUGAAUUAAUUCCUUGUAACUUCAUCUCAUUACAGCCAACUUCAACAAUAUCUCAUACCAUCAAACACUUACAUUUCUCUUGAUAUAAACACCAUGGCAGCUGCUACAAUGGCUCUUUCUUCCCCUUCUUUUGCUGGACAAGCAGUGAAACUCUUACCAUCUGCCUCAGAAAUCACAGGAAAUGGAAGGAUCACUAUGAGAAAGGCUGUCGCAAAGUCAGCCCCAUCUAGCAGCCCAUGGUAUGGCCCUGACCGUGUUAAGUACUUGGGUCCAUUCUCUGGUGAGUCCCCUAGCUACUUGAAUGGUGAAUUCCCUGGUGACUACGGGUGGGACACCGCUGGACUUUCAGCAGAUCCAGAAACCUUUGCCAAGAACCGUGAACUCGAGGUGAUCCACUGCAGAUGGGCUAUGCUUGGUGCUCUUGGAUGUGUCUUCCCUGAGCUCUUGGCCCGUAAUGGUGUCAAGUUUGGUGAGGCUGUCUGGUUCAAGGCUGGAUCUCAAAUCUUCAGUGAGGGUGGACUUGACUACUUGGGCAACCCAAGCUUGGUCCAUGCACAGAGCAUCUUGGCCAUCUGGGCUUGCCAAGUUGUACUCAUGGGAGCCGUUGAAGGUUACCGUAUUGCUGGUGGACCUCUUGGUGAGGUUGUAGACCCACUCUACCCCGGUGGAAGCUUCGACCCAUUAGGCCUUGCUGAAGACCCUGAGGCAUUUGCUGAGCUCAAGGUAAAGGAGAUUAAGAACGGUAGACUUGCUAUGUUCUCUAUGUUUGGAUUCUUUGUUCAAGCCAUUGUUACUGGAAAGGGACCAUUGGAGAACCUUGCUGAUCACCUUGCAGACCCAGUAAACAACAACGCCUGGUCCUACGCCACAAACUUUGUCCCCGGAAAAUAAAAAUCUUAAAACAUUCUCAAGUUUCUGAUCAUUUGUUGACCAUGUAAAGUUGUAAUUUGUGAGUUAACUUGAACAAUAGAAUUGAUUUUUCUUACAUCUUAUUCCUGUUAUGGUAUAGUCUUGAAUUUCAUUUUCCAAUGGCAUGAAUGAGAUGCUGCAAGUUUCAUAUCAAAGGGGAAAAACAGGUGACUGUUCAAAAAAAAUUAUACAUUUGGUAUGUGGUAAAAGCUUAAAAGUUGAAUAUAGAGACCAGUAGAGGAACUUAUGGAAUGAUUCAGUUCUCAAGAAGCAAUACUCUUAACUUAGUGCCGACAGUAGCAUGAUGAUUCCUUUAUUUUUAAGUUGAGAAGUGAGAUGAAUUAAGAGGACAUACGUUUAUUUCACUACUACGUACGCAGUGACAUUUCAAUGAUAAGGGAAAACUAAUGUAUAUGUUUUGUCUUCAGAAUCAGCAAGUACUCUCUCUGUUUCAAUUUAAUCCGUCUUACUUUCAUUUUUUACAAUACCUUGCUUCAACUUUUCACUUAACAUGUUUAAGACCACAAGAUUAAAUAACGU
rnacentral:lncRNA from 1 species